CGUUCCCGGGCCUUGUACACACCGCCCGUCACAUCACGAAAGUUGGUUGUACCGGAAGCCGGUGCGCUAACCCGCAAGGGGGGCAGGUCCUUAAGGAGUGACUGGUAACUGGGGUG
rnacentral:rRNA from 1 species